rnacentral:rRNA from 11 species
UCACACAGUAAUAAUGCUUUAAAAAGGGCAACAAAUCCCUUCUGAUCUUGGAAGAUGAGUUGGUCAUCCAUGAUUAGUACCUGGAUACAAGACUGCCAAUGAAUUCCUGGUGCUAUAGCAU